AGUCGCAUUUAAUUGCGAAAAACGAUUUAACCUUUCCGUGCAAGGAUGAAAACAGAUUUAAAAAAUUUGUCUUUUUCCUUUAAAAUGAGCAACAAAAAUAGUAAAGAAUAUAAUUAUUAAGAGACACAGAACUAUAUGCCGUUCAUCACGAAUAACCGGUUUCCCUGAGAGCAGGCAACGCUUCGUACUUCAUGCUAUGUUUGUACAAAUCUGAAGGCGCAACAUACUACAAUGUGGAUGAGAUACGGAUGUUUGAUAGAAAAUAAAUAUAACAAUUAAAAAAUUUAAACGUAAAAUCCGA